rnacentral:rRNA from 1 species
AGACGGAGGGCGCAAGCGUUGUUCGGAAUUACUGGGCGUAAAGGGCAGGUAGGUGGUCUGUUAAGUCUUCUGUGAAAAUCCGGGGCUCAACCCCGCGAAAUGCAAAUGAUACUGGCGGACUGGAGACCGGUAGAGGCUAGCGGAAUUCCUGGUGUAGCGGUGGAAUGCGUAGAUAUCCGGAAGAACACCUGUGGCGAAGGCGGCUAGCUGGGCCGGGUCUGACGCUGAACCGCGAAAGCGUGGGGAGCAAACAGGAUUAGAAACCCGAGUAGUCC